AUAAUAAGGGAUAAGGUAUGUGUCUUUGUCAGCAAGGCAUAGUGGUGUCAUCAACUUUUCCAUGUUGGUCUGGUAGAUCUUUCCAACGGACUAUAUUUUCGAUUCGGCAUAGACUAAUUGGCAUGUGUAUUGCUUGAAAAAAAUAUUUCUCUUUUUGGAUCUAUGGUAUUUUCAUUAUAUCUAAGAUCAUGCAAAAGAGCUUUCUGACAAAUUUUUAUCCUUGCAGUGCAAUUGGACUACAGUAUAGUCUCUUUGGUAUUCAUGGAAUUAUUUGACGCUUGACACAGGUUAUUUGCUAAAACUAUUUGGAGGUAUUAUACUAACCCUGCAGAACUCUUUUAUAUAACCUUUUGUCAAUAUGAUUAUUUUAGUGUUCAGCUAUGUCUAUAGUGCAAAAUACUGUUGAGCUAAUUAUGAGACUUGCAACUAAUGUGCUUCAUGAUCUACAAGUGUUUUCAUCACAACUCGAUUCCUAAAUUAUAGUUUAUUUUAUUAUUUACUGAAAUCCUGUUGUUAUAUGAUUUCCGCAUAUUAUGACAUCUUGUUCAUUAACAACCUUUCCUAUGUGUUGGAUUCACUUGCACUUAAUGUUAAGUGACUGUGUUUUAGCCUGCAAAACAGUUGUCUCUGAUAUUUACAUCAGAUAGCCAUAUUAUUCUUCUGUUCUUAUCAUUCUAUAGUUGGAACAAUAGAAGUUACUUGACUAAUCCUUGUUUUCCUAAUAUCUGGUAAUAAUUGUAGGGUUCAUUUACGCACAAUAGACAGUUGGACUGCCUAAUGUCAGCGACGCCCAGGAAGAUCAACAAACUAUUCUGCUCCUCAUGCUAACAUAAAAAGGAGAAAUAAUAGUUCAGUCCUUUUCACAAGUAGAAAAUUAUAUGUGGGC
rnacentral:lncRNA from 1 species